rnacentral:rRNA from 1 species
UACGGAGGAUGCAAGCGUUAUCCGGAAUGAUUGGGCGUAAAGCGUCCGCAGGUGGCUAUGUAAGUCUGCUGUUAAAGAGUGAGGCUCAACCUCAUAAGAGCAGUGGAAACUACAUGGCUAGAGUGCGUUCGGGGUAGAGGGAAUUCCUGGUGUAGCGGUGAAAUGCGUAGAUAUCAGGAAGAACACCGGUGGCGAAAGCGCUCUGCUAGGCCGCAACUGACACUGAGGGACGAAAGCUAGGGGAGCGAAUGGG